GACGAACGCUGGCGGCGUGCCUAAUACAUGCAAGUCGAACGAACCGCGACUAAGUGCUUGCACUAAGUCAAGGUGAGUGGCGAACGGGUGAGUAACACGUGGGUAACCUACCUCAUAGUGGGGGAUAACAGUCGGAAACGACUGCUAAUACCGCAUAGGACAUAGGAUCACAUGAUCCAGUGAGGAAAGGUGGCGCAAGCUAUCGCUAAGAGAUGGACCCGCGGUGCAUUAGCUAGUUGGUAGGGUAAAGGCCUACCAAGGCGAUGAUGCAUAGCCGACCUGAGAGGGUGAUCGGCCACAUUGGGACUGAGACACGGCCCAAACUCCUACGGGAGGCAGCAGUAGGGAAUCUUCCGCAAUGGACGCAAGUCUGACGGAGCAACGCCGCGUGAGUGAAGAAGGUCUUCGGAUCGUAAAGCUCUGCUGUUAGAGAAGAACAGCGCAUAGAGUAACUGCUAUGCGUGUGACGGUAUCUAACCAGAAAGCCACGGCUAACUACGUG
rnacentral:rRNA from 1 species